CCUACGGGGGGCUGCAGUGAGGAAUAUUGGUCAAUGGGCGCGAGCCUGAACCAGCCAAGUCGCGUGAGGGAUGAAUGUUCUAUGGAUCGUAAACCUCUUUUAUAAGGGAAUAAAGUGUGGGACGUGUCCUAUUUUGUAUGUACCUUAUGAAUAAGGAUCGGCUAACUCCGUGCCAGCAGCCGCGGUAAUACGGAGGAUCCGAGCGUUAUCCGGAUUUAUUGGGUUUAAAGGGUGCGUAGACGGCCUUUUAAGUCAGCGGUGAAAGUCUGUGGCUCAACCAUAGAAUUGCCGUUGAAACUGGCGGGCUUGAGUAUGUUUGAGGCAGGCGGAAUGCGUGGUGUAGCGGGGAAAUGCUUAGAUAUCACGAAGAACCCCGAUUGCGAAGGCAGCCUACCAAGCCAUGACUGACGCUGAUGCACGAAAGCGUGGGGAUCAAACAGGAUUAGAUACCCGGGUAGUC
rnacentral:rRNA from 1 species